rnacentral:lncRNA from 1 species
CCUAUGGUGGUGGACCUCAACAAAGGCCACAAGGUGACGAAAAACGCAAGCGCUGCGGGCGCCUGACCAAGCACACCAAGUUCAUGUGGGACAUGAUCCGGGAGGUGUGUGGCUUCGCACCCUACGAGAGGCGCACCAUGGAGCUGCUCAAAGUGUCCAAGGACAAGCGAGCACUCAAGUUUAUCAAGAAGAGGGUGGGCACACACCUCGGCGCCAAGAGAAAGCAGGAGGAGCUGAGCAACGUGCUGGCAGCCAUGCGGAAGGCGGUGGCCAAGAAGGAUUAAUGACCCCUCCCCCAAUAAAAAAUGGUUCUUAACAAAAAAAAA